UGGGGAAUAUUGCACAAUGGGUGAAACCCUGAUGCAGCGACGCCGCGUGAACGAAGAAGGUAUUCGUAUCGUAAAGUUCUGUCCUAUGGGAAGAUAAUGACAGUACCAUAGAAGAAAGCUCCGGCUAAAUACGUGCCAGCAGCCGCGGUAAUACGUAUGGAGCGAGCGUUGUCCGGAAUUAUUGGGCGUAAAGGGUACGCAGGCGGUUUAAUAAGUCGAAUGUUAAAGAUCGGGGCUCAACCCCGCAAAGCAUUGGAAACUGAUAAACUUGAGUAGUGGAGAGGAAAGUGGAAUUCCUAGUGUAGUGGUGAAAUACGUAGAUAUUAGGAGGAAUACCAGUAGCGAAGGCGACUUUCUGGACACAAACUGACGCUGAGGUACGAAAGCGUGGGGAGCAAACAGG
rnacentral:rRNA from 1 species